GGGCCCGCACAAGCGGAGGAACAUGUGGUUUAAUUCGAUGAUACGCGAGGAACCUUACCUGGGCUAGAAAAAGAUUGACCGGCUUGGAAACAGGCUUUCCCUUCGGGGCAAUCUAUUAGGUGCUGCAUGGUUGUCGUCAGCUCGUGCCGUGAGGUGUCGGGUUAAGUCCCAUAACGAGCGCAACCCUCAUUGUUAGUUACCAUCAAGUAAAGUUGGGGACUCUAACGAGACUGCCGGCGUAAGCCGUGAGGAAGGUGGGGAUGACGUCAAAUCAGCACGGCCUUUAUGUCCAGGGCUACACACGUGUUACAAUGGCCAAUACAGAGGGCAGCAAUACCGUAAGGUGGAGCAAAUCCUAAAAGUUGGUCUUAGUUCGGAUCGGAGUCUGCAACUCGACUCCGUGAAGCUGGAUUCGCUAGUAAUCGCAGAUCAGCCAUGCUGCGGUGAAUACGUUCCCGGGCCUU
rnacentral:rRNA from 1 species